AAGUCUAUAUAAGCAGAAGCUCAAUAAGAGAUCAAGUGUAGUAUCUGUUUUUAUCAGUUUAAUAUCUGAUAUGUGGGCCAUCGGCCCACUCGAUAUUAAUCUUAUUUUUCAUGGGGAAAGGUCCAUCACAAUAGCUUGCUAUUGGGGUCUUUGAACGCUGCCUUGGUGUUACACUACUGCCUUGGCCUGGCGCACCCCUC
rnacentral:snRNA from 1 species